CUAACAACAUAUGUAAUGCUACC
rnacentral:siRNA from 1 species